rnacentral:misc_RNA from 1 species
AAGAUUCUUGACCCUCUGGGUCAAACUCUUCAGCUGUGCGCUUCGGCUGCACGCUGAUAAAAUUCACACACCUGUGCACGUUUCGGUCGCAUCCUGCAUGCAGGUUUGCUUCCGCUUUAACAUACAACCACACGUCUUGAAUGUAACAAACCAUAAAAGUAA